rnacentral:other from 1 species
CGUUCCCUGCGGUGUUCGUGUCUGACGAAGAGUUAGACCCAACACCACGUUGAACGGGAGCCCUCCCUGGCGGUGGAGAGCAGGCCCCUCACGGGGAAGCCGGAAGCCGUUAUCAGGGCGCCCACCUAUCUGGGGAUAGGGUUCAACGUCUAUCGCAGGCACGGCACAUGCGGGGGACUU